rnacentral:lncRNA from 1 species
UGCAGGCUCUGUGCAGAGCUCUGUGCUGGAGGGAAGCUGGCCCUGAGCAGCCUUUGAUGGCAGCUUCUCCGAGUGGUUUCCGCAACAGGAUUUUCCUGCUUUCGCCAUGUGUUGCAAUAAUGAAACACUUCAAUGGACACAACCAUGUUUUGGAAAGCAUUUCAGAUUUGUAUAAUUAUCAUCACAAUCCUCCUCCUGGAUUUCCUGUCUCCAGCACAUGUCUAUAGCUGCAUUUGAUACAGGAGCCAACCACAUUCUCCUAAGAAGAGUUAAAAAUAAAACAAGAAACGAGAGUAUUGAUGAUAUUGACAUCUAGGAAAAAAGAUGCCCUACAACCACUCACAGGACCACCAGUUACACACUUCACCACAAGAUGUGCCCCAAAAGCCUGGAGCUCUCCAGCAACCCUGAAACAUAACACUUCCCAGGCAGUGGCUCAUGUUCAAGACUUGAAGACUGUUCUGAAUGACUUGGGAUGAAGGGCCAGCACUCCUGCUCUCCCUGAGGUGUCAGAAUUCUUCCCCCUCACUCCCAAGAGAUUUUAGAAGAAGAAAAAAGAAAGAUGAAGAAGGAGCAGACACUUCUGUUUGCCAUAUACCUGCUUCUCAAGAACUACAUGAAGAAAACCUGGCUCACACAGAAAUGUACGAAGAGAGAGACAGGGCAUGCGACCCCUGAAGAGGAGAAGGCAGAUGCUAUCUAGGUCAAAAACAUAUUGUAUGAAGAGAGAAAUAAUCCAAGGGAAAGAAAGAUGGAGUUCUGCGGACUCAAUCUAUUAUUCAAGAAGAAAAAUCCUUAACAGAUAUAUAUGCUGAAAGGAGACGGAGAACCUGUC